GGAUCCAGACUUUGAUUAUGGCUCAGGAUGAACGCUAGCUACAGGCUUAACACAUGCAAGUCGAGGGGCAGCGGGAUUGAAGCUUGCUUCAAUUGCCGGCGACCGGCGCACGGGUGAGUAACGCGUAUCCAACCUUCCGUACACUCAGGGAUAGCCUUUCGAAAGAAAGAUUAAUACCUGAUAGUAUCUUAAGCACACAUGUAAUUAAGAUUAAAGAUUUAUCGGUGUACGAUGGGGAUGCGUUCCAUUAGGUAGUAGGCGGGGUAACGGCCCACCUAGCCAACGAUGGAUAGGGGUUCUGAGAGGAAGGUCCCCCACAUUGGAACUGAGACACGGUCCAAACUCCUACGGGAGGCAGCAGUGAGGAAUAUUGGUCAAUGGACGAGAGUCUGAACCAGCCAAGUAGCGUGAAGGAUGAAGGUCCUACGGAUUGUAAACUUCUUUUAUAAGGGAAUAAACCCUCCCACGUGUGGGAGCUUGUAUGUACCUUAUGAAUAAGCAUCGGCUAACUCCGUGCCAGCAGCCGCGGUAAUACGGAGGAUGCGAGCGUUAUCCGGAUUUAUUGGGUUUAAAGGGAGCGCAGACGGGUCGUUAAGUCAGCUGUGAAAGUUUGGGGCUCAACCUUAAAAUUGCAGUUGAUACUGGCGUCCUUGAGUGCGGUUGAGGUGUGCGGAAUUCGUGGUGUAGCGGUGAAAUGCUUAGAUAUCACGAAGAACUCCGAUUGCGAAGGCAGCACACUAAUCCGUAACUGACGUUCAUGCUCGAAAGUGUGGGUAUCAAACAGGAUUAGAUACCCUGGUAGUCCACACGGUAAACGAUGGAUACUCGCUGUUGGCGAUAUACUGUCAGCGGCUUAGCGAAAGCGUUAAGUAUCCCACCUGGGGAGUACGCCGGCAGCGGUGCAACUCAAAGGAAUUGACGG
rnacentral:rRNA from 1 species